GUCUAUGGCCAUACCAGCCUGAACACGCCCAAUCUCGUCUGAUUUCAGAAGCUAAGCAGUGUCGGGCCUGGUUAGUACUUGGAUGGGAGACCACCUGGGAAUGCCGGAUACCGUAGGCU
rnacentral:rRNA from 1 species